GCAGUGAUGGUUCAGUGGUAGAAUCCAUGCCUUUCAUGCAGGAGACCAGGGUUUGAUUCCUGGCCGGUGCA
rnacentral:tRNA from 1 species